ACUUGAAAAUUAAUAAGAUUGUUUUGUUGUUCAAUUUGAUAUUAAAGUUAAAUUAAGUAAAUUUAAGUCAGUGUAUUUUUAAAAAAUAGGAUUAUUUUAACUAUAGUAAAUUAGUACUGUGAAGGAAUUUUAAAAUUGAUAAUAUAAUUAAUAAAAGGGAAUUUAUGUUAUUGUAUCUUGUGUAUCAGAGUGGAUUUAAUAGAAUUAAAUAUUUUAUAUUUCUCGAAUUUAAAAGAUUUAAUUGAGUAGAAUAGUUAUUGUAUCAUAAAUAUUAUUAAUACUUAGUUGGUAAUGAAAUGUUAUUCGUUUUUAAGGAUAUCUAGUUUUUUAAUAAAUGAAUUUAAUUCAGAAAAUAAUGAUUAUUAUUUAUAUUUUUAUAAAAAUAUACUUUAUUUUUAAUUUUUAAGGGGAAAAUCUCUUGGAAAAAUUUUUAUAAUAGUUUUGGUAGUUGAGAAUUUUGUGAAUUUAGAAUUUGUUAAUAAUUAAAGGAUGUUAAAAUUUAAUUCUUAUUUUAGAAGAUUUUAUGUUUAUUUAAAGUAUUUAUUAAAAUAAAUUAAAGAAUUUUGAAUUUUUGAUAAAAAUGAUUUAAUUAGUAAAUGUUUAUGUGGAAGUGUAAAUAAAUGGUUUGUUAAUAUGAAGAAUUAGGCAAAUAUUUUGCUCGUCUGUUUAAUAAAAACAUAGUUUCUUGAUUAUUUAGGAAAUUUAACCUGCCCACUGAAAAAUUUUGAAGGGCCGCAGUAUUUUGACUGUGCAAAGGUAGCAUAAUCAUUAGUCUUUUAAUUGGAGGCUGGUAUGAAUGGUUGGACGAGGUAAAUACUAUUUUAUGUUAAUUAAAAUUGAAUUUCGAUGUUAAGUAAAAAUACUUAAAUGUUAUUAAGGGACGAGAAGACCCUAUAGAGUUUAAUAUAUGUAGUUUUAAUUGAGUUAGAGAGUAAUUUUUGGUUAAUUAUGUAAUAUAUUUAAUUGGGGUGAUUUGAAGAUAAUUAAAACUCUUUUUAGAAUUAAAUAUUUUAAUUAAUUUGUUGAUCCAUAUUUGAUGAUUAUAAGAUUAAAUUACCUUAGGGAUAACAGCAUAAUUCUUUUUGAGAGUUCAUAUCGAAAAAGGAGAUUGUGACCUCGAUGUUGGAUUAAGAUAAAUUUUGGGUGCAGAUGUUUAAUUAUUAGGUCUGUUCGACCUUUAAAUUCUUACAUGAUCUGAGUUUAAACCGGCGUGAGCCAGGUUGGUUUCUAUCUUUAAUACAUUUUAAUACUUUAGUACGAGAGGACCAAGUAUUAGAAAUAAUUUUAUAUUUUUGAUUAUUAAU
rnacentral:rRNA from 1 species